rnacentral:rRNA from 1 species
GGGAAUAUUGCACAAUGGGCGCAAGCCUGAUGCAGCCAUGCCGCGUGUGUGAAGAAGGCCUUCGGGUUGUAAAGCACUUUCAGCGAGGAGGAAGGGCGAUGUCUUAAUAUGGCAUCGCAUUGACGUUACUCGCAGAAGAAGCACCGGCUAACUCCGUGCCAGCAGCCGCGGUAAUACGGAGGGUGCAAGCGUUAAUCGGAAUUACUGGGCGUAAAGCGCACGCAGGCGGUUUGUUAAGUCAGAUGUGAAAUCCCCGCGCUUAACGUGGGAACUGCAUUUGAAACUGGCAAGCUAGAGUCUCGUAGAGGGGGGUAGAAUCCCAGGUGUAGCGGUGAAAUGCGUAGAGAUCUGGAGGAAUACCGGUGGCGAAGGCGGCCCCCUGGACGAAGACUGACGCUCAGGUGCGAAAGCGUGGGGAGCAAACAGGAUUAGGUACCCUGGUAGUCCACGCUGUAAACGAUGUCGAUUUGGAGGUUGUGCCCUUGAGGCGUGGCUUCCGGAGCUAACGCGUUAAAUCGACCGCCUGGGGAGUACGGCCGCAAGGUUAAAACUCAAAUGAAUUGACGGAA